rnacentral:misc_RNA from 1 species
UCACCCACAUUAUCAGCAAUAACCUGCAUAAGCACCAUAGAUUAUAAGCCACAAUUGACCAAAGAAUUUUGGGAAGUAUAAACUAUCAUGAACAAUGCAGGACUUGGAAAAGAUAAGACAAAAGUCGCAGAUGAGCUAUAGAAAAGAAUUUAAAGCAGUGCAAAUCCUAAAAUAGUAAAUUAGCCAAUGUGAAACUGCCACAAGAGGAGCUGUUUAAACAAUUAAACAUGGAACUUGUCCAUGAUAGUCAGUAAAAAAUAAUGAGAAAGGAGUUCCAAGGAAAUU